rnacentral:rRNA from 1 species
GAUGAACGCUAGCGGCAGGCCUAAUACAUGCAAGUCGGACGGGAUUGAGAAGCUUGCUUUUCAUGAGAGUGGCGCACGGGUGCGUAACACGUAUGUAACCUACCCAUAUCAGGGGGAUAGCCUCUCGAAAGAGAGAUUAAGACCGCAUAACAUUAUUGAAUGGCAUCAUUUAAUAAUCAAAUAUUUAUAGGAUAUGGAUGGGCAUGCGGAACAUUAGCUAGUUGGUAAGGUAACGGCUUACCAAGGCUACGAUGUUUAGGGGAUCUGAGAGGAUGACCCCCCACACUGGUACUGAGACACGGACCAGACUCCUACGGGAGGCAGCAGUAAGGAAUAUUGGUCAAUGGACGGAAGUCUGAACCAGCCAUGCCGCGUGCAGGAAGACGGCCCUAUGGGUUGUAAGCUGCUUUUGCAGGGGAAUAAACCUCGAUACGUGUAUCGAGCUGAAUGUACUCUGAGAAUAAGGAUCGGCUAACUCCGUGCCAGCAGCCGCCGCGG